GGGUUGUGAGGUUAAGCGACUAAGCGUACACGGUGGAUGCCCUGGCAGUCAGAGGCGAUGAAGGACGUGCUAAUCUGCGAUAAGCGUCGGUAAGGUGAUAUGAACCGUUAUAACCGGCGAUUUCCGAAUGGGGAAACCCAGUGUGUUUCGACACACUAUCAUUAACUGAAUCCAUAGGUUAAUGAGGCGAACCGGGGGAACUGAAACAUCUAAGUACCCCGAGGAAAAGAAAUCAACCGAGAUUCCCCCAGUAGCGGCGAGCGAACGGGGAGCAGCCCAGAGCCUGAAUCAGUGUGUGUGUUAGUGGAAGCGUCUGGAAAGGCGCGCGAUACAGGGUGACAGCCCCGUACACAAAAAUGCACAUGCUGUGAGCUCGAUGAGUAGGGCGGGACACGUGGUAUCCUGUCUGAAUAUGGGGGGACCAUCCUCCAAGGCUAAAUACUCCUGACUGACCGAUAGUGAACCAGUACCGUGAGGGAAAGGCGAAAAGAACCCCGGCGAGGGGAGUGAAAAAGAACCUGAAACCGUGUACGUACAAGCAGUGGGAGCACGCUUAGGCGUGUGACUGCGUACCUUUUGUAUAAUGGGUCAGCGACUUAUAUUCUGUAGCAAGGUUAACCGAAUAGGGGAGCCGAAGGGAAACCGAGUCUUAACUGGGCGUUAAGUUGCAGGGUAUAGACCCGAAACCCGGUGAUCUAGCCAUGGGCAGGUUGAAGGUUGGGUAACACUAACUGGAGGACCGAACCGACUAAUGUUGAAAAAUUAGCGGAUGACUUGUGGCUGGGGGUGAAAGGCCAAUCAAACCGGGAGAUAGCUGGUUCUCCCCGAAAGCUAUUUAGGUAGCGCCUCGUGAAUUCAUCUCCGGGGGUAGAGCACUGUUUCGGCAAGGGGGUCAUCCCGACUUACCAACCCGAUGCAAACUGCGAAUACCGGAGAAUGUUAUCACGGGAGACACACGGCGGGUGCUAACGUCCGUCGUGAAGAGGGAAACAACCCAGACCGCCAGCUAAGGUCCCAAAGUCAUGGUUAAGUGGGAAACGAUGUGGGAAGGCCCAGACAGCCAGGAUGUUGGCUUAGAAGCAGCCAUCAUUUAAAGAAAGCGUAAUAGCUCACUGGUCGAGUCGGCCUGCGCGGAAGAUGUAACGGGGCUAAACCAUGCACCGAAGCUGCGGCAGCGACGCUUAUGCGUUGUUGGGUAGGGGAGCGUUCUGUAAGCCUGCGAAGGUGUGCUGUGAGGCAUGCUGGAGGUAUCAGAAGUGCGAAUGCUGACAUAAGUAACGAUAAAGCGGGUGAAAAGCCCGCUCGCCGGAAGACCAAGGGUUCCUGUCCAACGUUAAUCGGGGCAGGGUGAGUCGACCCCUAAGGCGAGGCCGAAAGGCGUAGUCGAUGGGAAACAGGUUAAUAUUCCUGUACUUGGUGUUACUGCGAAGGGGGGACGGAGAAGGCUAUGUUGGCCGGGCGACGGUUGUCCCGGUUUAAGCGUGUAGGCUGGUUUUCCAGGCAAAUCCGGAAAAUCAAGGCUGAGGCGUGAUGACGAGGCACUACGGUGCUGAAGCAACAAAUGCCCUGCUUCCAGGAAAAGCCUCUAAGCAUCAGGUAACAUCAAAUCGUACCCCAAACCGACACAGGUGGUCAGGUAGAGAAUACCAAGGCGCUUGAGAGAACUCGGGUGAAGGAACUAGGCAAAAUGGUGCCGUAACUUCGGGAGAAGGCACGCUGAUAUGUAGGUGAAGCGACUUGCUCGUGGAGCUGAAAUCAGUCGAAGAUACCAGCUGGCUGCAACUGUUUAUUAAAAACACAGCACUGUGCAAACACGAAAGUGGACGUAUACGGUGUGACGCCUGCCCGGUGCCGGAAGGUUAAUUGAUGGGGUUAGCGCAAGCGAAGCUCUUGAUCGAAGCCCCGGUAAACGGCGGCCGUAACUAUAACGGUCCUAAGGUAGCGAAAUUCCUUGUCGGGUAAGUUCCGACCUGCACGAAUGGCGUAAUGAUGGCCAGGCUGUCUCCACCCGAGACUCAGUGAAAUUGAACUCGCUGUGAAGAUGCAGUGUACCCGCGGCAAGACGGAAAGACCCCGUGAACCUUUACUAUAGCUUGACACUGAACAUUGAGCCUUGAUGUGUAGGAUAGGUGGGAGGCUUGGAAGUGUGGACGCCAGUCUGCAUGGAGCCGACCUUGAAAUACCACCCUUUAAUGUUUGAUGUUCUAACGUGGACCCGUAAUCCGGGUUGCGGACAGUGUCUGGUGGGUAGUUUGACUGGGGCGGUCUCCUCCUAAAGAGUAACGGAGGAGCACGAAGGUUGGCUAAUCCUGGUCGGACAUCAGGAGGUUAGUGCAAUGGCAUAAGCCAGCUUGACUGCGAGCGUGACGGCGCGAGCAGGUGCGAAAGCAGGUCAUAGUGAUCCGGUGGUUCUGAAUGGAAGGGCCAUCGCUCAACGGAUAAAAGGUACUCCGGGGAUAACAGGCUGAUACCGCCCAAGAGUUCAUAUCGACGGCGGUGUUUGGCACCUCGAUGUCGGCUCAUCACAUCCUGGGGCUGAAGUAGGUCCCAAGGGUAUGGCUGUUCGCCAUUUAAAGUGGUACGCGAGCUGGGUUUAGAACGUCGUGAGACAGUUCGGUCCCUAUCUGCCGUGGGCGCUGGAGAAUUGAGGGGGGCUGCUCCUAGUACGAGAGGACCGGAGUGGACGCAUCACUGGUGUUCGGGUUGUCAUGCCAAUGGCACUGCCCGGUAGCUAAAUGCGGAAGAGAUAAGUGCUGAAAGCAUCUAAGCACGAAACUUGCCCCGAGAUGAGUUCUCCCUGAC
rnacentral:rRNA from 1 species